ACUAGAUACCCAGGUAGUCCACGCCGUAAACGAUGGAUGCUAGCUGUUAGGAGUAUCGACCCUCCUAGUAGCGUAGCUAACGCGUUAAGCAUCCCGCCUGUGGAGUACGGUCGCAAGACUAAAACAUAAAGGAAUUGACGGGGACCCGCACAAGCGGUGGAGCGUGUUGUUUAAUUCGAUGGUAAGCGAAGAACCUUACCCAGGCUUGACAUCCUGCUAAGGACCCCGAAAGGGGACUGUGCCUUCGGGCCGCAGUGACAGGUGAUGCAUGGCCGUCGUCAGCUCGUGUCGUGAGAUGUUUGGUUAAGUCCAUCAACGAGCGCAACCCUUAUAGUUAGUUGUAUUUCUCUAGCUAGACUGCCCUGGUAACAGGGAGGAAGGAGGGGAUGAUGUCAGGUCAGUAUUUCCCUUACGUCUGGGGCUACAAACACGCUACAAUGGCCGGUACAAAGGGCAGCCAACCCGCGAGGGGGUAGCAAAUCCCAUCAAAGCCGGUCUCAGUUCGGAUAGCAGGCUGAAACUCGCCUGCUUGAAG
rnacentral:rRNA from 1 species